rnacentral:tRNA from 1 species
GCCAGGAUGGUGGAACUGGUAUACACGCAAGACUUAAAAUCUUGUGGCUUUUGGCCAUGCGGGUUCGAUUCCCGCUCCUGGUA